AUUGAACGCUGGCGGCAUGCCUUACACAUGCAAGUCGAACGGUAACAGGUUAAGCUGACGAGCGGCGAACGGGUGAGUAAUACAUCGGAACGUGCCCAGACGUGGGGGAUAGCUCGGCGAAAGCCGGAUUAAUACCGCAUAAGCUCUGAGGAGGAAAGCGGGGGACCGUAAGGCCUCGCGCGUCUGGAGCGGCCGAUGGCAGAUUAGGUAGUUGGUGGGGUAAAGACUUACCAAGCCUACGAUCUGUAGCUGGUCUGAGAGGACGACCAGCCACACUGGGACUGAGACACGGCCCAGACUCCUACGGGAGGCAGCAGUGGGGAAUUUUGGACAAUGGGCGCAAGCCUGAUCCAGCAAUGCCGCGUGCAGGAUGAAGGCCUUCGGGUUGUAAACUGCUUUUGUACGGAACGAAAAGGCGCCUACUAAUACUGGGUGUUGAUGACGGUACCGUAAGAAUAAGCACCGGCUAACUACGUGCCAGCAGCCGCAGUAACAC
rnacentral:rRNA from 1 species